GGCCAUCACAGAUGCAUAUCUAUUUAACAAAAGAACCAAACAAACUUACAAAAACUGUUUCAUCAUUUGGUGCGUAUACAUAACUAACAACACUACCAGGCACACGGAUUAUCCUUACACGAUUUUUUAGGGGGCUUUUUUACCAUAAGGAGAGAAGAAAUUUGCCCUAGGAUUUUGGGGCAGGGAAGUUUUAAGGAAGAAUGAUUUGGAAAAUUAUAGUAAUAAGAAUCUUGCCCGAUUUGGAGUGAGACAGUCCUGAUCUUGUUGGAAUUGGAACCAGUUACUUCUUGAAGCCAUAGAAGUUCAGAAUCCAAACUCUUUUCCAUCUGUGUAGUAUGGCUUUCUCCUCGUCAUACUCCGACGGUGAAGGAAGAAAGGAAUCAGAUGGUGACCUUUUAACUCCUGAAGACCUUAAGCUUCGUAAUGUCGAUACUAACAAGAAGGUAACAUUGUCCGAAGCUUUGUUAGUGGUUGCAGAAACUGCUUCUGUCAAGUGGGAGGAUGAGGAGAGAAAGAAAAGGGUAGAGAUGGCUAAGACACAGAGGUUAUUAAGGGAGAAAGCUCUGAAAAAGCCAAUAGAUUUAGCUGUUGAAAAAAAGGGUAUCGCCAUCGAGAACAGAGAGUUUACGGGAAAAAAAUUAAUGGGUGGCGCAAUCAAGGUUGGGAAAGAAUUGAAUGAGAAGAAGAAUGGGAGCAUAAAUACGGCAUUGAAACGUAGAAAUCUUGGCUGUGAGAAAGACAAAAACUGGGAGAAUGAUCAAGAAAGGAGAAAAAAGCAUAGAAAGGGAAGCUCUGAAAGAGAGACUGGCAAAGUUAAGGGUUCAAUGCCAGUAACACCACCAGAACUGCCUCAAGAAUUCAAGGAGAAGAUCAAGGAGAUGCAUGGUACUGAAGUGCAGCUAGUGAUAACAAAGACAAUAACAAACACUGACAGAAAGGAUGCUCAGGGUCGUUUAUCAAUGCCCAAGAGGCAAAUAUUAUGUGAAUUCUUGAAAGAAGAUGAAAGGGAAAAGCUAGAAAAGAAUGAAGACAUGAAAGUGAAGAUCAUGAUCGAUCCCAAUCUUAAGCUUAGUGACAUGAUUUUCAAGCGAUGGAACAUGAGGAAACCAAAGGGGAAUACUAGCACAUCAUUUGUGUUUCGCACUCACUGGAAUGAUCUUAGGAAGAAGAUUGGAGUGAAGAGUGGUGAACUAAUUCAAGUGUGGUCCUUUCGAGUUGAAGAAAAGCUUUAUUUUGCUUUGAUAAGGGUUGAAGAAGAAGAAAGAAUGAACAACCCAGAUACAAGUGAAGCAAGUGGCGCAACUGUUAGCAUUCCAAAUAACAGUCCAGGUUCUUGUAUCACUCAAGCUGGAGAUAGUGAAUCAGCUGCUUCAACUUCUGAGUCUGAGAAUGAUGAACAUUAGGUUUUUCUUUUUCCCUUAAUUUUAAAGCCUAUAUAUAGAAAAUUAAGGAAUCUAUUAACACAGUAUGUCUAAUUGUAGACGCCUUUUAG
rnacentral:misc_RNA from 1 species